rnacentral:rRNA from 1 species
UACGUAGGUGGCAAGCGUUGUCCGGAUUUAUUGGGCGUAAAGGGAGCGCAGGCGGUGACUUAAGUCUGAUGUGAAAGCCCACGGCUCAACCGUGGAAGGUCAUUGGAAACUGGGUCACUUGAAUAUAGAAGAGGAAAGUGGAAUUCCAUGUGUAGCGGUGAAAUGCGUAGAGAUUAGGAAGAACACCAGUGGCGAAGGCGAUUCUCUGGACUGUAACUGACGCUGAGGCUCGAAAGCGUGGGGAGCAAACAGGAUUAGAUACCCCCGUA